rnacentral:rRNA from 1 species
GAUGAACGCUGGCGGCGUGCUUAACACAUGCAAGUCGAACGAUGAAGCCCAGCUUUCUGGGUGGAUUAGUGGCGAACGGGUGAGUAACACGUGAGUAACCUGCCCUUCACUCUGGGAUAAGCCUGGUCAACUGGGUCUAAUACCUGAUAGGAGCGUCCACCGCAUGGUGGGUGUUGGAAAGAUUUAUCGGUUUUGGAUGGACUCUCGGCCUAUCAGCUUGUUGGUGAGGUAAUGGCUCACCAAGGCGACGACGGGUAGCCGGCCUGAGAGGGUGACCGGCCACACUGGGACUGAGACACGGACCAGACUCCUACGGGAGGCAGCAGUGGGGAAUAUUGCACAAUGGGCGCAAGCCUGAUGCAGCGACGCCGCGUGAGGGAUGACGGCCUUCGGGUUGUAAACCUCUUUCAGUAGGGAAGAAGCGAAAGUGACGGUACCUGCAGAAGAAGCACCGGCUAACUACGUG